rnacentral:rRNA from 1 species
AUUGAACGCUGGCGGCAGGCCUAACACAUGCAAGUCGAGCGGAUGACGGGAGCUUGCUCCUUGAUUCAGCGGCGGACGGGUGAGUAAUGCCUAGGAAUCUGCCUGGUAGUGGGGGACAACGUUUCGAAAGGAACGCUAAUACCGCAUACGUCCUACGGGAGAAAGCAGGGGACCUUCGGGCCUUGCGCUAUCAGAUGAGCCUAGGUCGGAUUAGCUAGUUGGUGGGGUAAUGGCUCACCAAGGCGACGAUCCGUAACUGGUCUGAGAGGAUGAUCAGUCACACUGGAACUGAGACACGGUCCAGACUCCUACGGGAGGCAGCAGUGGGGAAUAUUGGACAAUGGGCGAAAGGCCUGAUCUAGCCAUGCCGCGUGUGUGAAGAAGGUCUUCGGAUUGUAAAGCACUUUAAGUUGGGAGGAAGGGCAGUAAGUUAAUACCUUGCUGUUUUGACGUUACCGACAGAAUAAGCACCGGCUAACUCUGUGCCAGC